rnacentral:lncRNA from 1 species
AUGAAAGUGAAAGUGUUAGUCGCUGAGUCGUGUAUGACUCUUUGUGACCCCAUGGACUGCAGCCCGCCAAGCCUGUCAGCCUCCUCCAUCCAUGGGAUUUUCCAGGGAAUCAUCUGUCAGCGCAGAGGCAGAAAGUGUGGUCCUGGAACAGUCUUGCCUCUGAGCUCCUUGGAAUCUCACUUCCUGGAGACUGAUCUCUGUGGGGAAACAGAAGCGGCACGUGAAAAAUCUCCAUUAUUAAUAGAGAAUGUGAGUGUUUACCAGGCCCUUUUCUUACAGUCUGUGAGUGCAGGCCAACCAUCCUUUUCCACAUCCUUGGAGCCAGACGUGCUUCAGAAUUUGGAAUUCAAAGGACCCAACCCUCUGAGAGUAGGGUUGAGUCUUGAUAAGGAAUUGGAGGCCCAGAAGUUACUGAAUCAGGUCUGGUUGCUUGCUACUCAAAAAUCAAUGCUCAAGAGAGAAACAAAUGUUGGUGGUAAGAAAAGUUGCUUUUAACCAGAAUGCUGGAAGCGGAGUAGAGAUGGUGGACUCAGUGUAACCAAAAACCACCUCUGAAGAUUUUGUUUGAAUCUGAAAGUUUUAAAGGGAAAAGAAGAAUAAUCCUUUGAGAAGAGAUAGACGGGUCUUAGGCUGAGCAGCUGGAGUCUGUCUCCUGUGGACAGAUACUUCAUGAUAAAGAUAGCGGCUGGGGCAAGGAGGAGCCGGGUCCUGCUUGGAUGAAAGAUAAAGAGACCACAUGUUUCUCAUCCUUGAGGCCAAGGAGACCUCCCACACUACACGUGUGCAGAAAGGUUUCUCAGGGCUCAGAGAAGGGAGCGGGCGUCGCGCUGUAACGUGUUAGGUCAAUUUCCCGGAGACCCUUGCUCUGGAAUCCAUCUUGGCUAAAAGAUGCCAGUGCACACGGAGGAGGGCCCUGAGCCAGACCACAUGUGGACUCAAAGCCAGAGCAAGAUGACUGGCCAAAGGAAACCCAGAAGUACCUCCCCCGUAUAAGCCCUCAGCUCUUUCUCUGAACUCACCUGCAUGUCCAUCUGCAGGUGCUUCUUUUUUCUCCUGAUAAACACUUUACUGAUUCCACUACUUUCCUUCUCUUUGCUGAAUUCCUUCUUAAGAGCAGACAAAGAGCCCGGGCUCUGCUCCUAGCUAACUGUCCCUGGUGGGUCCAGUGGCUAGGAUUUGGUGCAUUCACCUUCAUGGCCUGUGUUCAAUCCUUGGCGGUGGAACUGAGAUCCUGCUUCAAACGGCCACCCUAGAUCCAUCUCAGUUGAUCCCUGAGAUAGGAGGUCAGGGCUGUUGCCAUGCCCCACUUUGGGCAGGCUUGUCCACUCCUUGUGAUCUUCACCAAGAUAUUAUCUUGUUCACGCAGUUUUGAGAUCACCAAAGAGAGAGCAAGGAAUGAGAUCUGGUCAUCUGUUAAUUACUCAUUCUUCCUUUCUACUUCCUGAUCUAUGGAAAGAACCAGCAAGUAAGGCAAAGUGUGUGAUUAAAAGAUCUGAAGGGUGUGCGUGGGCCAGAGAUGCAUAGAGCGUGGGGGUGCCUGGUUUGAAAGCAGUGACAAUACAGCUCUGCUGAAGGGAAGGGACUCCCACUGAGGGCAGUUUCCUGCAAAGAGCUGCUUACACAGACACAGCUGGAUUUCAGAGUAAGUGUGUGCAGUAGCUCCCCUUCCUCACCUGCUUUUGAAUGGGGUUUUCUGUAGUGGCCAUCCCAUACCUGUUUUGUAUAGGGUGUAUGUUGGGUGUGAUGGGGGAGGGGAAAGGAAUCUGAUUACUUGUCUCUUUAGUCAACAGCUCUCUAAUUCAAGAACUUGUAUUAAAGGAGCAGCACCCAGUGAAUUACACCCAACGGGUCUCAUCCACACCUGAAGCUGAUGUACAUGGCGAGAUCAAGCUUAUGCUGUGAUGGCUGGAAACAGGAUUCUCAUAUGGGCCAGUCCCUGCCCAGACCCUCCAGCAAGUUGCUCUGAUAGGAUGCACACCCCCGUGCAAACACACCGUCUGCAAAGAGACCUGCAGCUCAGCCUUCCAGGGCCUGUGGCUCUUGCCUAAGUUUCUCAGAUGGUCCUUGUUCACUAUCUCUCAGCCUUAGAAGGAGUAACUGCUUUCUGCAAAAUUGCUACCAUAAGCAGAUAGGUUAGGGGGUCCCCAGACAAAGAGAACAAGGAAUGGUUUUCUUGACAUAAGAGAAGUCAUUUUUGGCCCAAGCCAUUUUAUAAUCAAAGCCUGGCCUCACUGUUUGCCCUUGAACAUAUCUCAGUAAUUAACGAUCUUAAGGGAACGAAGGCAUGCAGGAACAGAAAAAAGGCAGCCAAACAAUAGUACAGCGAUAAAUCAGAGUCCUGGUGCCUCCUCAAAGGAUAUUCGUAAAAAUAUAUCUUUGAUUGCAGAAACAGAGACCCCACACACAGGUGGAAGAUGGAAUGAUGACAUUGAGCCCCCUUACUUCAGUUAACUAAAGCCUGGACUCUUGUCAGCCUUUGCCAAAAUGCUAUGCUGAAUUCUCCUCUGCCAAGCCCCUUCGUGAAUAUACACGUACCCUGAGCUUAAAACUUCCCCAGUUUUGCUGUUCAGGGAGACACUGCUUUGGGAAAGAUCUUUGCUAUUCUCCUUACUUGCUGCAACUAAUAAUGAAUUCUUCCUUCUUCUGCUCUUCGGUUUGGUUGUGUCUAUUCGCUCGACACCCACCAACAGGCAAACCCAGCUUUUGGUUAACGCUAUGUCUGUAGGACUGAGAACCCUUAAAAAUUGUCUUUUAGUGCUUUACCAUCUAUUAAGAGCUAGCAUUUCAUCACGUUUAAUUUUCCUAUUCAGAUUAUUGGUAUGCUUUCUGUCACCUAGUAACUUCUAUCUCAUAAUUUAAACAAAUUCUUUAUUGUACAAUGUAGUUAAGUAUGCCAACUGAUUGUAGGAUCGGUGACAAAGAAAGAAUUGUUUAUGUUGUUUCCAGCAAAGGAAGUAACAAGUUCUUGGGACUAGAUGAUAGGUGAUAGGAUCCUAAUUGUUUUCAUAAUUAUGGCAUCCACUUUGCUGACAUCUAAAAUAGCACUCAUAAUCUCUUUCUGGGUAGCCACUUAAAAGUGCCUCCACUCUACAAAUUCCCAAAGGUGUGCUGAUUUAAAAACAAACUGCAACCUAAAAGUUGAAGAUUAUAUUUUAUUUGGUGGACUUUUUGAGGACUUAAGCCUGGGAGACAGUCUCACAGAUGGCUCUGAGGGAACUGCUCUGAAGAGGUAAGGAAGAAGCCAGGAUGCAUAGGAUUUUGGCAAAAAAAUUCAGGUAGUUGUAACAUCAAAAGAUUACUAUUAAUUAAAGAAAAACCAGGCAUUUCAAGUUAAUGAAUUUGGUGCUUUCCUAUGUAUGUGAAGAUGCAAGAGUUUGGCCUCAUUGAAGUCAUCUUUUGAUUCGUAUCUCAGCUACCUGGAGCCAGUGUCCUGCUUUUCUCCAAUCUGAAUCCUCUCAGGGUACACAGUCAGGGCAGGCUGCAGUGGCUGCUGGCUUGACGGCUUGACGGCCUCAGCAGCCUUUGUUUAUUGACGUGGCUGCUGACCUUCUUUGUCCACGUGUGAAACGUGUCGUGAUAUCAAAUUCAGGAUCUCAAACUGACUUAUUCAGUAGAAACUGAAAAUAUGAUUGUUUCCCCAUUUUCCCAGAGCAGUUAUAUUUUGCUAUAGCAGAUUUUCCUAUGGUCCAAUCGGUUGCGAUUGUGUUGGUUUAUACACAAUUCUUCCUAGGCAAGGGGAGCCAGGUUAUAUAAGCAGAAUUAAAAACCUCAGCAGGAAACAAAAGGCGAAGCUCUCAGAUGGCUACUACCCAGGCGGAAGCCUUUUCAGCUCCAUCUGAAGCAAAUUGACAAUGAACGCCUGCAUGACUUGCACCCUGCUUGAUGGCUGUACCUCUUUCUCUGCUGCCCCUACGUAAGAGCAGCCACUGGCUCAGACAUUGGAGAGAGCCCCUGCUUGUCUCAGAAUGCCAUCCAGAAUCCCCACAUGGUGUGUUUGUGCAUUUACCAAUAUCUUCCAAGGCAGCCUCUAGACAUCAAGGAAAACUGCCAAGGUAAUUAUUUCAAGGUAACAGUGAUCUCUUUUGUAGGGCUUUGGUGACAAAGUUGCUUAGGUUCUAAGUAAUCCACUCACAGCCAUGUUUUCCCCCAUAAUUUUUCAGNNNNNUAAUUUUUCAGAAUUUCGCCAGAAACAUGUAUUAUGUGUAGAAGGAAUGCAUACUGUAUAGUAGCAGAAGUAAUACAUUUUAUAACAAGUGCUGGAGAGGAUGUGAAGAGAGGGGACCCCUCCUACACUCUUGACAGGAAUGCAAAUUGGUGCAGCCUCUAUGGAAAAUAGUAUGGAGAUUCCUCAAAAAUCUAAAAGUAGAGUUGCAACAUGAUCCAGCAUUUCGCUCCUGGGUGUAUUAAUACACCUGUGCUGCGAAGAAGAACCAGUUCUGACUCCAUUUUGGAAAUGUUUCUUUUGAGUUGCUUUUCGUUGCUGUUGUUACUAUAAUCAUACAUAAUGACCUGUCUCAGAGGACUCUUCUGCUUAAGAAAAAGAAAUGCAAAAAGGGAAAAUGGUUGUCUGAGGAGGCCUUACA